CCUACGGGGGCAGCAGUGAGGAAUAUUGGUCAAUGGACGAGAGUCUGAACCAGCCAAGUAGCGUGAAGGAUGACUGCCCUAUGGGUUGUAAACUUCUUUUAUAUGGGAAUAAAAUGUUCCACGUUUGGGCUUUUUUAUGUACCAUAUUAUUUAGGAUCGGCUAACUCCGUGACAGCAGCCGCGGUAAUACGGAGAAUCCGAGCGUUAUCCGGAUUUAUUGGUUUUAAAGGGAGCGUAGGUGGAUUGUUAAGUCAGUUGUGAAAAUUUGCGGCUCAACCGUAAAAUUGCAGUUGAAACUGGCAGUCUUGAGUACAGUAGAGGUGGGCGGAAUGCGUGGUGUAGCGGUGAAAUGCUUAGAGAUCACGAAGAACUCCGAUUGCGAAGGCAGUUCACUGGACUGCAACUGACACGGAGGCUCGAAAGUGUGGGUAUCAAACAGGAUUAGAUACCCGAGUAGUG
rnacentral:rRNA from 1 species